rnacentral:rRNA from 1 species
UACGUAGGUGGCAAGCGUUGUCCGGAUUUAUUGGGUUUAAAGGGUGCGUAGGCGGUCUAUUAAGUCAGUUGUGAAAUACGGCAGCUCAACUGUCGAGGUGCAAUUGAUACUGAUGGACUUGAGUACUGAUGAGGUAAGCGGAAUGGACGGUGUAGCGGUGAAAUGCGCAGAUAUCGGGAGGAACACCGGUGGCGAAGGCGGUUCUCUGGGCCUGUACUGACGCUGAGGAGCGAAAGCGUGGGGAGCGAACAGG